rnacentral:snRNA from 1 species
GGAUGUGAGGGCGAUCUGGCUGCGACAUCUGUCACCCCAUUGAUCACCAGGGUUGAUUCGGCUGAUCUGGCUGGCUAGGCGGGGGUCCCCUUCCUCCCUCACUGCUCUACGUGCAUCCCUCCCAAAGCUGCGCGCUCGGUCGAAGAGGACGGCCUUCCCAAAAUAGAGACGGACCGGUCUUUGGUCAAGGGUAUACGAGUAGCUGCGCUCCCCUGCUAGAACCUCCCCAAACAAGCUCUCGAGAACUGUAGAAAUAUCUAUUAAAUAUUGCAUACUCGCAAGGACCGACUUAAGGAUCCUGGUUCGAGC